rnacentral:rRNA from 1 species
GGGGAAUUUUCCGCAAUGGGCGAAAGCCUGACGGAGCAAUACCGCGUGAGGGAUGACGGCCUAUGGGUUGUAAACCUCUUUUUUCAGGGAGGAAUCAAUGACGUGCACNCUGAAGAAUAAGCAUCGGCUAACUCCGUGCCAGCAGCCGCGGUAAGANCGGAGGAUGCAAGUGUUAUCCGGAAUCACUGGGCGUAAAGCGUCUGUAGGUGGUUUAAUAAGUCAACUGUUAAAUCUUGAGGCUCAACUUCAAAAUCGCAGUCGAAACUAUUAGACUAGAGUAUAGUAGGGGUAAAGGGAAUUUCCAGUGGAGCGGUGAAAUGCGUAGAGAUUGGAAAGAACACCGAUGGCGAAGGCACUUUACUGGGCUAUUACUAACACUCAGAGACGAAAGCUAGGGUAGCAAAUGGGAUUAGAUACCCCAGUAGUC